AUUGAACGCUGGCGGCGUGCCUAACACAUGCAAGUCGAGCGGCAGCGCGGGAGCAAUCCUGGCGGCGAGCGGCGAACGGGUGAGUAAUGCUUCGGAAUCUGCCCAUGUAGUGGGGAAUAACUAGCCGAAAGGUUAGCUAAUACCGCAUACGACCCUUGCCGAAACGGCAAUGGUGAAAGACAGGGGAGUCGCAAGACCUUGCGCUAUUGGA
rnacentral:rRNA from 1 species